UCUUGGUCAUUUAGAGGAAGUAAAAGUCGUAACAAGGUUUCCGUAGGUGAACCUGCGGAAGGAUCAUUAAAGAAUCGCCCCGUUUUUCGAAAUGGGUUCUAUUCCCAAACCGUGUAUACAUACCUUUGUUGCUUUGGCAGGUCGCCUUCUAGGCGUCGGCUUCGGCUGACUGCGCCUGCCAGAGGACCCAAACUCGUUUGUUUAGUGAUGUCUGAGUUACUAUAUAAUAGUUAAAACUUUCAACAACGGAUCUCUUGGUUCUGGCAUCGAUGAAGAACGCAGCGAAAUGCGAUAAGUAAUGUGAAUUGCAGAAUUCAGUGAAUCAUCGAAUCUUUGAACGCACAUUGCGCCCCUUGGUAUUCCGAGGGGCAUGCCUGUUCGAGCGUCAUUAUAACCACUCAAGCCUCGGCUUGGUCUUGGGGUUCCGCGGUCUCUCGCGGCCCUUAAAAUCAGUGGCGGUGCCAUCUGGCUCUAAGCGUAGUAAUUUUCUCGCUAUAGGGUCCCGGUGGUCUCCUGCCAGAACCCCCCCAUUUUUUACGGUUGACCUCGGAUCAGGUAGGGAUACCCGCUGAACUUAAGCAUAUCAAUAAGCGGAGGA
rnacentral:rRNA from 1 species